rnacentral:rRNA from 1 species
AGUGAACGCUGGCGGUAGGCCUAACACAUGCAAGUCGAACGGCAGCACAGUAAGAGCUUGCUCUUACGGGUGGCGAGUGGCGGACGGGUGAGGAAUACAUCGGAAUCUACUUUUUCGUGGGGGAUAACGUAGGGAAACUUACGCUAAUACCGCAUACGACCUACGGGUGAAAGCAGGGGAUCUUCGGACCUUUCGCGAUUGAAUGAGCCGAUGUCGGAUUAGCUAGUUGGCGGGGUAAAGGCCCACCAAGGCGACGAUCCGUAGCUGGUCUGAGAGGAUGAUCAGCCACACUGGAACUGAGACACGGUCCAGACUCCUACGGGAGGCAGCAGUGGGGAAUAUUGGACAAUGGGCGCAAGCCUGAUCCAGCAAUACCGCGUGAGUGAUGAAGGUCUUCGGGUUGUAAAGCUCUGUUGUUGGGAAAGAAAAGCAGCAGGUUAAUACCCCGCUGUUCUGACGGUACCCAAAGAAUAAGCACCGGCUAACUUCGUG